AAGGUCUUUUUGAUGAAGUGAAUCGGUUUCAAAGACACAGUGGGGGGCCCCCCCCGGGCAUUA
rnacentral:tRNA from 1 species